ACGUCACCAUCCCCCACCUACUACUACAUGUAGCGCCCCCACCACCACCAUGCCGCGCGCGCUCCCUCCCCUCUCCUCCCCCCACCACCACCACAAGAACCGCGUCAACACCACCUGCCAUUGCCGCGCCGAGCUGAGCCUCUAGCCGCGCCAGGAGGGCGCCCGCCUCUGCCUGCCUGCCUGCCUGCCUGCCUGCCGACAUCUUCGGUAGUUGAUGGAGUUGCACAAGUACUGGGGCGUCGGUGGCAGGCGGUGCGGCAGCUGCGAGGCGGCGCCGGCGGCGGUGCACUGCCGCUCGUGCCCCGCGGGGGGCGCGUUCCUCUGCACGGCUUGCGACGCGCGCCCGGGGCACGCGCGGCUCGCCCACGAGCGCGUGUGGAUGUGCGAGGUCUGCGAGCUGGCGCCCGCCGCCGUCACGUGCAAGGCCGACGCUGCCGUGCUCUGCGCCGCCUGCGACGCCGACAUCCACGAAGCCAACCCGCUGGCGCGCCGCCACGUGCGCGUCCCCGUCGCGCCCAUCGGAUCGGAGGCCGCGGCCGCCGCCGUCGAGGCCAUGCUUUUCGGGACCGCCGAGGCGGCCGCGUCCGAGGCCGAUGAGCCGCACAACGCCACGGCCG
rnacentral:lncRNA from 1 species